CGCGUAGGCGGCUCGUUAAGUGGCUGGUGAAAUCCCGGGGCUCAACUCCGGGGCUGCCGGUCAGACUGGCGGGCUCGAGCACGGUAGAGGCGGAUGGAAUUCCCGGUGUAGCGGUGGAAUGCGUAGAGAUCGGGAAGAAUACCGGUGGCGAAGGCGUUCCGCUGGGCCGUUGCUGACGCUGAGGCGCGACAGCGUGGGGAGCAAACAGGAUUAGAUACCCUGGUAGUCCACGCCGCAAACGAUGGGCACUAGGCGUCGGGGGGAGCGACCCUCCCGGUGCCGUCGCUAACGCAGUAAGUGCCCCGCCUGGGGAGUACGGCCGCAAGGCUGAA
rnacentral:rRNA from 1 species